rnacentral:rRNA from 1 species
ACAACGUCGCUCCACCCAUUAUAUUCUCACCUUAUCCAGGUUGGGAAUUGAUGUAUAGAAGCGGAUAUUGGCCCCCCGUGCCUUAUAGGUGCGGUCGGCUUAAAAUUUGGCCCUCGGCGAUGAGCGUCACGAUCAGUGGUGGUUUUAAAACCCCUUUGUCAUUGACCGGAAUUGUGUUGCCUCACCUCAUAUCAGGCUAUGCGGACCCUUGUCUGUCGUUAGCGCGACAUUCACUUU